rnacentral:rRNA from 1 species
CAGUAGCCGCGGGAAUACGAAGGGGGCUAGCGUUGCUCGGAAUGACUGGGCGUAAAGGGCGCGUAGGCGGAUGGCACAGUCAGAUGUGAAAUUCCCGGGCUUAACCUGGGGGCUGCAUUUGAUACGUGUUGUCUAGAGUGAGGAAGAGGGUCGUGGAAUUCCCAGUGUAGAGGUGAAAUUCGUAGAUAUUGAGAAGAACACCGGUGGCGAAGGCGGCGACCUGGUCCUUUACUGACGCUGAGGCGCUAAAGCGUGAGGAGCAAACAGGAUUAGAUACCCGUGUAGUCCCUGUCUCUUAUAC